GACGAACGCUGGCGGCGUGCUUAACACAUGCAAGUCGAACGCUGAAGCCCUUUCGGGGGUGGAUGAGUGGCGAACGGGUGAGUAACACGUGGGUAAUCUGCCCUGUACUUCGGGAUAAGCCUUGGAAACGGGGUCUAAUACCGGAUAGGACCUGUCCUCGCAUGGGGGUGGGGGGAAAGUUCCGGCGGUAUGGGAUGAGCCCGCGGCCUAUCAGCUUGUUGGUGGGGUAGUGGCCUACCAAGGCGACGACGGGUAGCCGGCCUGAGAGGGUGACCGGUCACACUGGGACUGAGACACGGCCCAGACUCCUACGGGAGGCAGCAGUGGGGAAUCUUGCGCAAUGGGCGAAAGCCUGACGCAGCAACGCCGCGUGGGGAUGACGGCCUUCGGGUUGUAAACCUCUUUCGACAUCGACGAAGGGGCCCUGUUGUGGGGUUUUGACGGUAGGUGUAGAAGAAGCACCGGCUAACUACGUGCCAGCCGCCGCCGUAA
rnacentral:rRNA from 1 species